rfam:Acinetobacter sp. TTH0-4, complete genome.
CGUUGCGGUAGGGCGAGGGAGGGACGCCUUGUGCGUGCUGAUUCUUGUGUGUCAGUCUGCUAACCCUCUCUCGUUCUGCCACCAUU